UGGAAGGUGAUACUUACUUUAAAGUAUUGAC
rnacentral:piRNA from 1 species